GCCGGGAUAGCUCAGCUGGGAGAGCAACAGACUGAAGAUGCGCUGACUUCUGGAGGUCCCGUGUUCAAUCCACGGUCCUGGCA
rnacentral:tRNA from 1 species